UACGUAGGGGGCAAGCGUUGUCCGGAAUCAUUGGGCGUAAAGCGCGUGUAGGCGGCCCGGUAAGUCCGCUGUGAAAGUCGGGGGCUCAACCCUCGAAUGCCGGUGGAUACUGUCGGGCUAGAGUGCGGAAGAGGCGAGUGGAAUUCCUGGUGUAGCGGUGAAAUGCGCAGAUAUCAGGAGGAACACCGGUGGCGAAGGCGGGACUCUGGGCCGAUACUGACGCUGAGGAGCGAAAGCGUGGGGAGCAAACAGG
rnacentral:rRNA from 1 species